CUCAAGGUUCUGAUCCGGUAGUUUAGGUAAAGAAGCCUCUGUGGAGCUUCACCCUCCAUGGCUGGGAAGCUCCGAGGAAGAACUUUUGUGGUGCUACCUGAGAUUAACCCAUUUGUGGAGUCUUCCUGAAACACCCACCACCUUGGAGCUCUUUGAAAACUGCUUAGUUUAAAAGACCAUCCACUGAAUCAAAGCUGCAAAGUUCAGAUUUUUCACUUUGCCUCUUCACRUCUUCAAGUGAAGGAAAUGUUGUGGAUUCCUAUGAUGUUACUGAAAAGAUACGUUCUCUGAAGAAUGGCCAAAACCUUCUGUUUUGAACUAAAAAUGACAUACUGAAAGAAGAGUCGGCAGGAGCGGAGACCAGACCCUGUGGUGAAAAGCAGGAAUAUUUUGGCUUGUCUGAGCAAGCACCUUGUGGAUCUAAGCCCUGGAGCAGCUUCUGGUGGUGAUGCUCAGGCUGGGCUGCUGACAACUGCUUUUACUCCCACAAGACCACAGAAGAAAAGGYAGGGGCUUGCGGAGGCUUCAGUCAUCACCGACCUAUUUUUGCUGUUGUAGCUUAUUCCUGGGGACUGCUUGCUCCUUGCAGGCUUGUACUGACACAGAUUGCUGACGUGCCCUGGAAGGGGAACUCUAUUUUGAACAGCCAUGGAACUUUCCAUCUCCAAGUCCCUGGUGUCUCAAGUUGGUCCAGAGUGGGAGUUGGGAUGUGCUGAACGACACAGGGGACAUGGCAAGGGAGGACUCUGCUUUGCAAAUCAGGAGGAGAUGGGUGCCCAGGGUGGGAUGAGAGAACAUGCUCCUGCUGGAACCAGGGACCCUUGAUGAUGAAUAUUGUGGAAAGUCCUCUAAUAUAUUUCCUAAAAGAUGAGUGGCGAAGCCAAGUGUCCUGGUGCAUUAUCUCCUCUAUGCUCCCUCUGAUUGCCUUUAAUAUGGUAUUUGCUUUCAUUGCUUGGCCUAGAUUGUUGUAGACUGUUAUUGCAUGCUUGCAAAUAGCU